AUACGGGGGGUGCAAGCGUUAAUCGGAAUUACUGGGCGUAAAGCGCGCGUAGGCGGUUUGCUCAGUCGGAUGUGAAAGCACAGGGCUCAACCUUGGAACUGCAUACGAUACUGGCAAACUAGAGUGUGAGAGAGGAUAGUGGAAUUUCCGGUGUAGCGGUGAAAUGCGUAGAUAUCGGAAGGAACAUCAGUGGCGAAGGCGACUGUCUGGCUCAACACUGACGCUGAGGUGCGAAAGCGUGGGUAGCAAACAGGAUUAGAUACCCUAGUAGUCC
rnacentral:rRNA from 1 species